UACGGGAAAGCCGAAAACCGGUCAUCUAACAGAGUAGGCA
rfam:Sphingobacteriales bacterium SCN 48-20 ABS85_C0148, whole genome shotgun sequence.